rnacentral:rRNA from 1 species
UAGGGAAUCUUCGGCAAUGGGGGGAACCCUGACCGAGCAACGCCGCGUGAGUGAAGAAGGAUUUCGGAUCGUAAAGCUCUGUUGUUAAGGAAGAACGAGUGUGAGAAUGGAAAGUUCAUACUGUGACGGUACUUAACCAGAAAGGGACGGCUAACUACGUGCCAGCAGCCGCGGUAAUACGUAAGGUCCGAGCGUUGUCCGGAAUCAUUGGGCGUAAAGGGUACGUAGGCGGGUAAGCAAGUUAGAAGUGAAAUCCUGUAGCUCAACUACAGUAAGCUUUUAAAACUGCUCAUCCUGAGAUAUGGAAGGGAAAGUGGAAUUCCUAGUGUAGCGGUGAAAUGCGCAGAUAUUAGGAGGAAUACCGGUGGCGAAGGCGACUUUCUGGCCAUAAUCUGACGCUGAGGUACGAAAGCGUGGGUAGCAAACAGG